GAAAAUAUUGGGUACCUUAACAGUGCCACGUCAUUCGUGCUCUGAACCAUUCAUUGCGCGACACGUGUCCGGAUGUCAGUCCACGUCGUCCACCUCUCCGUUUCGAACCAGCGCGCGGGAGCUUCUCUCUCUCCUCUCUCCCUGGCCCACCUCUCUGCACCUUCUGACGCUCUGCUCUCCUCUGCUCUCCUCUCUUUCUCUCUCCCCGUUCUCCGUUCCGUUGCGGGGAGGGAGAACAAAAUUGCGACGGUUCAGAGGAAAACAUAAAGUUCGCUCUGCUCUCUCUCUCUCCCCCCUUCGACGGCCCUCCACCUCCGUC
rnacentral:lncRNA from 1 species